GAGGAGUAGCAGGCAGAAGGAUGUAAUAGAAGACUUUGCACUUACAGAGGAGUAAUGCAAAAAGUAGUAGGGGUUUAUUAGCUAUACGGGUACUCUGGUUGAAAAUUAGAAGAUAUCCAGCUGCCAGAAAAAUAAGAUUUUGAAGUAACUUUCUUAUAAGGAUAGUGGGGAAGCAACUAUUCUUGAAAUAGAGGUUAGUCAGCUACAGAAUUAUUUAUACCUUUAUCUGCAGCAACAGCCUUGAUGAUGCUGGAGACCCUUCCAGCAUCCUUAUGUGCCUGCAUUCCUAGUCAUGCUGUCUCAGCUCCCUGUGUUACUAUGCAACACUUUGCACUUUGGAGAAGAAACCCAGGUAGUGCUGGAUACAGGUAUUCUCAAAAUUAAUGUCAGAAGAUAUGAUUUCUGUUUUCAAUUCCCAGCUCUGCUAUUCAUUCCUUCUGAAGUGAGAUGUUGUCUUGAACAGUGUGCAGUCAGUCCCACUUUGCAGCAAAAGAGCUGGAGCACUGAUAACUCCAAAGUCAUGUCCUAUAAAGCAAUUUCAUUCCCAAUAUGACUGAUGGGUGUUUCAUCAAGUGUCAAGGCACCUGGUUCCUCUUGUAAUCAAGGGAAUGUGUUGAAGGUCAAACGUACUGAUUUGUACCUAAGCAAGGAUGAUGGCUCUCAGCAACUAUACUCUGGUACCUGAGAUGGGGGACUUCCUCCUUCUAGAAGCAUAACAGAUAUUGGGUAACCUCUAUUGGGAUCUGAAAAAUGACACUGUGUGAAUGGGUAGAAAGAUGUAUUCCAAAAGUCUAAUACCUCAAUUCAAAAUUGCCUGGAAGGCAGCAUGACGGAUUGCCAGCAGAAUUUAAUCCUUAAUGAGUUUCUUCUCUGACUUUAUAAAGCCCAGUGUGGCUUAACACUUUUUAUCAGCUUUGGUUCAAACACAGCAUCUAUUUGGAUGGAAUU